AAAUCCUAAAAUAUAUGGAAUCAAGAUUAUAAAAUCGUAAAAUAUAUGGAAUCAAGACUAUUAAAUAUACGAUAACACUUUUAAAGUUAUAACAAGACUACGAGAACGAGAACAAAUUUGCUCUACGAGUUGCCUAUAUAUACACACAUAGUAGCCCUCUUCUCCAAAUAUCAAAUCCUCGAGAUAACUUUGGUUGACCACGAUAUUGAUGCAUCAGUAAGUUCUUUAGCCUCACACAUCUUUUUGUGUUUUCUCAAAUUGUACAAUUGUUUCCUUUGUCUGUAGUUGAGUUGAAGUAAAUGCAUGCAUAUGUUUGUCUCUGGUUAUGGUAUAUUAUAUUACUAUUGUAAUGUAUUCUUCUUUUCAUGUAUUCCCUUUCUGUUGACCUCUUUAUUAUUUCUCAUGAUUCUUAUUUUGUUUCAUGUUAAUGAAAUGAUUAAGAAUCAUCUAAAUAUGUUGCAUCCAGUAAGUUCUUUAGCCUCACACAUCUUUUUGUGUUUUUUCAAAUUGUUUUUGUCCUUUCUCUGUAGUUGAGUUGAAGUAAAUGCAUGCAUAUGUUUAACUCUGGUUAUGAUAUAUUAUAUUGCUAUUGUAAUGUAUUCUUCUUUUCAUGUAUUCCCUUUCUGUUGACCUCUUUAUUAUUUCUCAUGAUUCUUAUUUUGUUUCAUGUUAAUGAAAUGAUUAAGAAUCAUCUAAGUUACAAAUAUUUUUAAUUUUGUGGCUAUUAAUUACUUUCCUGUGGAUCAAUUUUUUUUUCCCUUUUGGAGUCAUGCCAAUCGUAUCGUCCUUUUAUAUAACUUGAUUAUUUCCAACUUUUCAAUGAGAGAAUAGUUAGUAAAAGAGAAUAUUAUUGACAACAAUAUUUUUUAUUUAUUAAAAAAAAAUUAUAUAUGUAUUAUUUUUUUUUCUUACUUAAAUUAUGUCAUACUAUGUACUAUGACAUACUUAUACAAAAUUUAUAGUAAUAAUUAACCGAUUAGGGUAUAGGAAUAUGCUUUUAAUUUUUUUUGCGAAUGUGUAUACUUCUGAUUCUUGUUGAAUAAGUAUAUUUUUUAAUUGUAACUGUGAUAUAGCUUAUUUUUGUGUAAUUGUUAACCUUUUUGUGUCUCAUUUAUUCGAAUUGAAUAGGUUAAGUUGAAUAGUAAAUGAUAACUUUAUUCCUAUACAAAAUCUUAAAAUAUAAGUUUUUCUUGUACAACUUUAAAUAUAUGAGAAGCAAAACUCCUAAAUAUAUAAUGGAGAUAGGAAAAGGUAUUGUUUGAGGUUAGCUUUCAACCUUUCACUUAGUUAUAUUAUUUUUGUAGAAUACUUAUUGAUGUAUUUAUAUUUUAUAAUGAUGUAUAAUGAUUUAUUAUUUUUUAUUUACUUGAGUCGGAAGUCUAUCGAAAAUAAGCUCUAUAUUCGAGAUAAGAGUAAGAGUUCUUUUAUGAAGGCACUAAAAGAACAUGAAUUCCCUGUUCUAAGACUAUGGAUUGCAGUCGACAUAGUGUGAUAUGAUUUUUGAAAUAAUCAUUUACAGAACACCAACUUAUUCACUAUGACUUGCGAUUUUACGAGAAAGGAGCAAGCUAAGAUUGAAAGUUGAAUAAAGGAAAAUUUUAAAAGCAUUCAUAUUAUGAUGAAGAAAGUGGUGAUGAAGAAAAUAAAGAAGAAACGUCAAGCCGCUCGAGCCUUUGCAGUUGGUGAAGGGAGAGGAUAAUCAUCAAGCUAGGAAAAAGUAUAUCAAUCUUAAUCAUUAAACUAGGAAUGAGCAUGAUCUUGAGGAUGAGGUAAAGGUUGAAUCUGAAGAUGAUGUUGAACUAGAGAAGAGCCUUAUCAAGUAGAGGAAUAAGACUAUCCAUGCUGCGUAUCAAGAGAAGAGAAACUUUUCCUCGAGAAAUACAUACAUAUAAGGAUCAAUUCUACUUGCAUAGUACUAAAAAACUACUAGAAGCCAAAACACGUAAAUGAAAAUGACACAAGAUAUUUUAAAAUUUAUGCUUCAGACAUUGAUGAAAUUUAUAGUAAUUUAACGUAACAAUUGAAUAAACGUUGUAAUGGAGAUUGAAGAAGAUGUUGUUUGCUGGAAAAGUAAUAAUAGGGUAUGUCAUAAUGGAGAGAGAAAAAGGUAUUGUUUGAGGUUAACUUUCAUAGUUUUAUUAUUAUUGUGGAACACUUAUUGAUGUAUUUGUAUUCUAUAAUGAUGUAUAAUCAAUUAUUAUUAUUUUUUUACUUGAGCUGAGAGUUUAUCAAAAAUAAGCUUUACAUCCGAGAUAAGAGUAAGAGUUCUAGCUUAUCCACUUUUAUGGAGGCACUAGAAGAACAUGAAUUCUCUGUUCUUCAUACUAUGGGUUACAGUCGAUAUAGUGUGAUGUGAUUUUUGAAAUAAUCAUUGGCAGAACACGUGCUUAUUCAUUGUGAUUUGCAGUUCUACGAGAAAGGAUCAAGCUAAGCUUGGAAGUUGAAUAAAUGAGAAGUUUAAAAGCAUUCAGAUUCUGAUGAAGGAACUGGUGAUGGAGAAAAUAAACAAGAAAUGUCAAGCAGCUCGAGCCCUUGCAGUUAGCAAAGGGAGAGGAUAAUCAUCAAGUUAGGAAAGAACAUGUCGAUAUUAAUCAUCAAAUUAAGAAUGUUCAUGAUCUUGAGGAUGAGGUAGAAGCCAAAUCUAAAGAUAGCCUUAUCAAGUAGAGGAAGAAAACUAUUCAAGUUGUCCAUUGGAGGAAGAGAAACUUUUUCUCGAGAAAUACAUACAUACAAGGAUCAAUUUUACUUGCAUAGUACUAAAAAAACUACUAGAAGCCAAAAUACGUAGAUGAAAAGGUAGACAACACUUUGAAAAUUAUUUAAGAUGUAAAUUUUAUUCAAUAUGAGAUCUUAGGAAUUUAU
rnacentral:lncRNA from 1 species